rnacentral:misc_RNA from 1 species
AAUAUCUCAAAAUGCCUUACUUUUUCUUGUAAAGUGUUUUGGAUUUGGGAGUGAUUGCUGGCUUGUCAGCUCUCCUUAAAAGCAUUUUGGCUGUUCUCUGUUAACUGGUAAUGAUAAUUAUCUAUGCCUGUUAAGAGGGAAGGUGUUAAGCCUCUAAUGGUCCUGUGAUCAGGACAGUACAUUCAA